UACGGAGGGGGCUAGCGUUGUUCGGAAUUACUGGGCGUAAAGCGCGCGUAGGCGGACCUGCAAGUCGGGGGUGAAAGCCCGAGGCUCAACCUCGGAACUGCCUUCGAUACUGCGGGUCUCGAGUCCGGGAGAGGUGAGUGGAAUUCCUAGUGUAGAGGUGAAAUUCGUAGAUAUUAGGAAGAACACCAGUGGCGAAGGCGGCUCACUGGCCCGGUACUGACGCUGAGGCGCGAAAGCGUGGGGAGCAAACAGGAUUGAGAAACC
rnacentral:rRNA from 1 species